rnacentral:rRNA from 1 species
CAAUAGCGUAUAUUAAAGUUGUUGCAGUUAAAAGCUCGUAGUUGGAUUUGUGGCUGUCGCGUGCGGCCCUGACACUUUGUGUUAGUGUUUGCUUGCGUCGCCAUCCUUGGGUGGAACCUGUGUGGCAUUAGGUUGUCGUGCAGGGGAUGCCCAUCGUUUACUGUGAAAAAUUAGAGUGUUCAAAGCAGGCUUAUGCCGUUGAAUAUAUUAGCAUGGAAUAAUAAGAUAGGACCUUGGUACUAUUUUGUUGGUUUGCGCACCAAGGUAAUGAUUAAUAGGGACAGUUGGGGGGUAUUCGUAUUCCAUUGUCAGAGGUGAAAUUCUUGGAUUUUUUGGAAGACGAACUACUGCGAAAGCAUUUUACCAAGGGAUGUUUUCAUUAAUCAAGAACGAAAGUUAGGGGAUCGAAGAUGAUUAGAU